UUACUUGUAUUCUUUAUAAUUGCCAUUCUGACUGAAGUGAAAUGAAAUCUCAGUGUAGUUUUAAUUUGCAUUUCUCUAAUUGCUAGAGAUGUUGAACAUUUUUUUUCAAUAUUUUUUGACCAUUCAUAUUUCUUCUUCUGUGUGAAGUGUCUGUUCAGUUCCUUGGCCCAUUUAUUGAUUGGGUUAUUUAUUUUUCUGGUGUUAAGUUUUUUGAGUGCUUUAUAUAUGCUGAAAAUUAAUGUCUUAUCUAAGGUACUGGUGGUAAAGAUUUUCUCCCAUUCUGUAGGAUCUCUCUUCACAUUAUUGACUGUUUCCUUUGCUGUGAAGGAGCUUUUUGGUUUGAAUCCAUCCCAUUUGUUGAUUCUUGAUUUUGCUUCUUGCACUUUAGGAGUCUUAUUGAGGAAGUCUGUUUCUAAGCCAACAUGUUGGAGAGUUGGGCCUACUUUUUCCUAUAGUAAGUACAGGGUCUCUGGUCUAAUGCCUAGGUCCUUGAUCCACUUAGAGUUACAUUUUGUGCAGGGUGAGAUAUAGGGGUUCAAUUUCAU
rnacentral:lncRNA from 1 species